UACAAGAGAAACCGCGAAUGGCUAUUAAAUCAGUUACAGUUUCUUGGGGCCUGAUUCAUUUCACCAUGAAAUACACGGAUAACUGUGGUAAUUCUAGAGCUAAUACGUGCCCAAAGGGGAUCAUUCCAAAAGAAUGGUUUCUGCGUUUGUUAGCCUAAAAGCCACCAGUCGUUAGUGGCAACACUGCGACUGUCCUUUCCCACGGAAUCACAACAACCAAGCUGAUCGUAUUGCCUUUUGUGCAAACGACUCACCCUUCAAGUGUCUGCCUUAUCAACUUUCGAUGGUAGGUUAUAUGCCUACCAUGGUGAUAACGGGUAACGGGGAAUCAGAGUUCGAUUCCGGAGAGGGAGCCUGAGAAACGGCUACCACAUCCAAGGAAGGCAGCAGGCACGCAAAUUACCCACUCCCAGACCGGGGAGGUAGUGACGAAAAAUAACAAUGCGAGACUCUUAAGAGGCCUCGUAAUUGGAAUGAGAAAAAUUUAAAACCCUUGAACGAGGAUCAAUUGGAGGGCAAGUCUGGUGCCAGCAGCCGCGGUAAUUCCAGCUCCAAUAGCGUAUAUUAAAGUUGUUGCGUUUAAAACGCUCGUAGUUGAAGUUUGUAGCUGGGUAUGGUAUCAUUUGUUGUGCUUUCAUAGGCAAACGGUGUGUCACCUCUUGCUAUUGCCUUCACGGGUGUAGUAAGUAAGGAGCAUGUCUUUGUACUAGUUCACAGCAAUUGCCAUUCACUCACUACUUUUGCUUGCAACAGGCUGAUGCCUUUAACCGGGUGCAGUCGUCGUUGUAAGCAGGUUACUUUGACAAAAUAAGAGUGCUCAAAGCGGGCAAACGCGAUUCAUUUCGAUAUGCUUGAAUUUUUCUCAGCAUAGAAUAACGAAACAUGGUGUGAGAAACAUCUGUAGUGUGUGCCUGUGUGGUGCAUGU
rnacentral:rRNA from 1 species